rnacentral:rRNA from 1 species
UACGUAGGGUGCAAGCGUUAAUCGGAAUUACUGGGCGUAAAGCGUGCGCAGGCGGUGAUGUAAGACAGAUGUGAAAUCCCCGGGCUCAACCUGGGAACUGCAUUUGUGACUGCAUCGCUGGAGUGCGGCAGAGGGGGAUGGAAUUCCGCGUGUAGCAGUGAAAUGCGUAGAUAUGCGGAGGAACACCGAUGGCGAAGGCAAUCCCCUGGGCCUGCACUGACGCUCACGCACGAAAGCGUGGGGAGCAAACAGG